rnacentral:rRNA from 1 species
AUGAGUUCGAUCCUCAGUAUUUUUCUCACGCGCGGCCCAGAAAAGGUCUGGCGGGCUAUGUGGCCCAAAUACAGUUCCAACCAUAUGUUUCUAUGCUUUGUUGUCAAGCAACUUAAUUUUGCAACAACACCCCAACUUGUGUAUGCGUCGUGCGCCGCCGCCGCCGCCGCCGAACUGCACGUACCUCUGAUCUCGAUCGACUUGAUCCUGACGUGCGCCGGCACCCACCCGGCCGCCCCCAUGCAGGUAGCAUCUCAAUCCUUUACGUGCUCCUCUACUCCCAUGUUAACACUUAACAUGAACCAGACAAGCACCAACAAGUGCCCCAUGCUUGUACUUCCCCGAUCUGAUCCAUCUCAUUCUUCUUCUUUUACACCUGAAUGUGAUGAGCAUUUGAAGCCUAAAGUGGGUAUGACAUUUGAAGGACUCGAGGCUGUGGAGAAGUUCUACAAGGCAUAUGCACAUCAAUCAGGUUUUGGCGUUCGUAUUGGACAACAGAAAAAGAUUGAGAAUAAGGUGGUCCGGACUAAGCGUUUCAUGUGUAAUAGAGAAGGAUUCAAGUCAAAAGAUAUUAAGGAGAUUAAUGACCCCUUGAGGAAAAGACGUAAGCAGACAGACACGCGAUGCGGUUGUGAUGCCCAUAUAUUUGUUAGACUUUGUGGGGAGAACACCUACAAGAUAGACUCAUGGAUUGAGCAUCAUGUUCAUGGUCUUGUAUCACCUGAUAAGCGUCAUUUGAUCAGAUCCAAUCGUAGAGUUAGUGAGAGGGCAAAGAAUACUUUAUACACAUGUCAUAAGGCAAGCAUUGGAACCUCCCAGGCAUAUAGGCUCCUGCAAGUUAGCGAGGGUGGAAUUCCGAAUGCUGGGUGCACAAAGAGGGACUUGCAAAAUUACUAUCGCGGACUCAGGUAUAAAAUCAGAGACGCAGAUGCUCAAAUGUUUGUGGCCCAAUUAGCUAGAAAGCAGGAAGUGAAUUCAGCAUUUUUCUAUGAUUUUGAGGUGAAUGAUGAGGGGAACCUGGGGUUAAUCAUCACUUACAAAGUGUCCUUUUUGGUGCUGGAUUCUUAUCAAAUGAGAAGGAUGAGUCAUACAUUUGGUUAUUUCAGACCUAUUAUCCAAGUGUUGAGGAUUGAGAACCAAAACGAGCUUCCCAACUACUACAUUAUGAAAAGAUGGCAGAAACGGUGCAAGAGGGAGAAUGUUUAUGAUGAACAGGGGAACCUACUAGAAGAAAAGCCCACAGAUUCACUAGAUGCAGCCACGAGAAAGAAGAUUUCGACUGUACGUGAUAAGAUGGAAGAGCUGAUUCAAAAGGCAAAGCACUCAAAUGAAGGCAUGGACUUCUUAACAUCAAGUGUGUUGAGCAUUGAGGCGCCUUUAGACCAAAUGGUCCCUGCAGCCACACAGAACACUAGGCAAGAGGAAUAUGAGGCUUUUAUUGGUUGUAAUAUUCCUACAGAAGUUCAUAUACAUCCACCAAUUGAUGUUCGUACCGUGGGGAGAUGCAAAAGAAUAAAGAGUGGAAAGGAGAUCAAGGAGGGUGAUAGGAAAAGGAAGGACAAAGAAGCGAAGUUAAAGGUUGCACGGUUGUGCAAGACAUGCAAGCAAAUGGAGGCUAUCCAGGGGGUGUUGGCACCGCAUUUGAGACGAGUCGUCACCGUCACGGAACCAUCAAUUCGCCAUGGCUUCGUCGUUGAGACGGCCGCCGGAUCUCCGUUGUUGUCGCUAGUCGCCGUUGUCGUCCCUUCUUGGUUGCCGUCGCAAACGGACUUCAUGGGAGUCGUCCAGCCCAAGGUUGCUAUCGCACGAGGGCUUGGGUUGGGAUUUAGGUGUUGGAGCGACGGCGUGCGGGAUUUGGCAGCAGAGGAUCAGAGGAUUUGGGGCAGCACGAAACGACUUGGGGACCUCGGUUGA